AAGUCGUAACAAGGUUUGCGUAGGAGAACCCGCGGAAGGAUCAUUAUUGAAUUUUCAUUCAAUUACGUAUGUGAACCAGCCGAACCACAAGCUGUGUACAGUCCUUCGGCUUUAAUGCCCUAGUCUGUAACCGAGUGGGUAGGCCCAGCCGUCAGUUUUUUUACUAACCCUGUAAUAAUCAUUGACUGUGACUGAAACAUCUUUAAUCAUUAAAGACAACUUUUAGCAAUGGAUCUCUAGGCUCUC
rnacentral:misc_RNA from 1 species